rnacentral:rRNA from 1 species
GAUGAACGCUGGCGGCGUGCCUAAUACAUGCAAGUCGAGCGAACAGACGAGGAGCUUGCUCCUCUGACGUUAGCGGCGGACGGGUGAGUAACACGUGGAUAACCUACCUAUAAGACUGGGAUAACUUCGGGAAACCGGAGCUACUACCGGAUAAUAUAUUGAACCGCAUGGUUCAAUAGUGAAAGACGGUUUUGCUGUCACUUAUAGAUGGAUCCGCGCCGCAUUAGCUAGUUGGUAAGGUAACGGCUUACCAAGGCAACGAUGCGUAGCCGACCUGAGAGGGUGAUCGGCCACCCUGGAACUGAGACACGGUCCAGACUCCUACGGGAGGCAGCAGGAGGGAAUCUUGCGCAAUGGGCGAAAGCCUGACGGAGCAACGCCGCGUGAGUGAUGAAGGUCUUCGGAUUGUAAAACCCUGUUAUUAGGGAAGAACAAAUGUGUAAGUAACUAUGCACGUCUUGACGGUACCUAAUCAGAAAGCCACGGCUAACUACGUG